UGCUAGCACAAAACUCCAGGUGAUUUGCAACCCCAAUGAAGCUAUCAGGUAGCUGCACAAAGGAUAAAUGGUAAGAACAUCGAACAAGAAGUAUUCUUUAUGUGAAAUCCUAUGUGUUUUGGAACAUUGCAACAAGAUGGACUGGUCUCAAGGCUAUGGUGGGAGAAAAUAGAUGGAUACUUUUGGUCAUUGUCAGCAAUCAACAGGAACCCCAAAUCUUGAACUUUGAUCAUCCAAAUUGUCGAAAGAUAGUCAUUUUCAGUACUUGUGGCAAGGAAAGGGGAUGGUUCAAGGUUGACCGUAGUUUCAUGGGUUGAUUAUAAGACUAAGAUCGAACUAAUUAGAUGCAUGGAGAAUCAUCAGAUUGUAUUCAAGUGAAACAGAGGAACUAAAAAGGGAGCAAAGAACACAAACCAAAAAGCUGUGAAUUUGAAGAAGUAAGCAGUCGAAGCCAUACAAGCAAUCGAGACAGCAGCAAAAACAAACUGCAAAAUCCUCAGAAUUAGCCCCAUCACAGUCCCAGGACUCCCUGGAAAAUCCCUCAUCUUCUUCUUUCCCAAAUUCAGCAGAAACCUCCAAUUCUCAAAAUCCGAUCCAGUGAAUCACCCAUCUUCUCAUAACUAUCGAAGAAACUCAAGAACGCCCUUCCACCAUCGAGAAAAUCAGAGUACCCCAAAACCAAAAAGUUGCGGCAAAGGAAAUUACAAAGAAAGAGAUCGAGGAGUUGAAUCGAUUUCGAAAUUACAAAGAAAUUGAUGAGGGAUUACCGGGACUCGAAAGUGGUUUUGCAGAAAGCUGAUGAACAUUCAUGGCGUAGCGGCGUGUUGGGAAAUCGUAAGAUUGAAUGAGCAAAAGGGGAAUUGGAGAGGAAAAAAGAGAGGAAGGCCUUACAUGGUUACGUGUCGCAGUUUAGCACUCGGGAAUUGACUUCAGAUUAAACAAAUGGAAAUUGCAUCACAAUCUUAAAGUCAUUGGCAUCUCACCCAGACGCCAUUCAACUCCAAAUUCAAAUGAAUUCAAGGAUUAAAAUAACUGAUACAAUUUUGGAUGAACCUCUGUCGAUGCCUUCGAGGUCUAUCACAGGAAUGCUCAUUUGGGCUUCACCGGGAACAGGGGACUCGCCGAACUCAGGCAGCCGGAUUUUCUUCCGAUAACAAUUCCUUGAUGGGUCCAUAAAGUUUGUUGCUUGGCAAAACAAGCGUCGAAAAAAUGCCCGCCACUGAUAUUCUCG